AGUUUAAUGCGGCGUCCAAAGCAGCUCAGAUCACCACAUCCUUCUUUAGCGUGACCCACCAAUUCCUGCCUUCUUUUGGUGUCAGGAGGUACUGGUUUCUGCUCACCUCACCACAUCCUUCUCUCUCUUCUCUUUGUCUUCCUCAGCACGGGCAAAGAUGCUCUCCAGCAGCUCAGAUCUCCCCAAGAGCUCCCUGCAGAUAAAGGAGGAUGACAAGUUCUAUGGCAGGUUGCUCUCCAAGGAGAGCUCAGCGGCCAACCGUUCCUUGAGAGCCUACUACGGAGUGGCCACUGUGGCUGUGCCUUUCGUGUGGGAGUCUCAGCCCGGGACACCCAAGCACAGCAGCUCCGCCGCUGCCAUGCCUCCCCUCACACCUCCCCCCUCCUACUUGUACAGCCCCAGGAGCACGAGCUCCACCAAGAACCCCAAAUCCGGCGGCUUCAUCCGCACCAUGCUCCCCAUGCUCAGCCUGAGGAAGGCCAAGGCGCCCAUGGCGUCAUCAUCAUCCUCUUCCUCGUCCGUCUCCUUGUCCUCCUCGUCGGUGUCGUCGUCCCCUUCGUCGUCCGCGUCUGGGCGGUCCAGACACAGCAGAAGGCCAUCGAGCCCGCAGUCGUCGUACUUGUGGUCGAGGGCCGAUGACGAGGCGUCCGACGACGGGUCCCCGACGACGAUCUUGUGCUUCGGUACGCGACACAGGGUUGCCGGCCGGCCAUGCCCAUGAAGAAGGCGCUGCUGCAUGUCAUGUGUGUGGUAGGGAGGCUCAUCAUCUUCCAAACAAGAGAGAGACUGAUGUGUGAUAGAACAAAGGUGAAAUGCGUCUCUUGGAGGAGAAAAUACGGGAGAGGAUGCGAUGCAAUGAAUUCCAAGUCACGACUUGAUGGAGGAAUAAUUUCUCUUAGUCAAACAAAAAAAAGGGUCAAUAUCUUCUUUCAGUCUGUUCUUGCCAAGACUGUGGCGCAAUGCAUCUAGUAAAAGAAAAAGCUCAUAAUGAAUUCGAGUGUUCAUCACUAGUUUAGCAAAUUUGAAGCGAAAACAUACCCUGAAAGACCAUCUUAUACUGUGUUUGUUCCAUAAAGAAUAUCGAGUGUUGUAAUAAUGAAUUA